UGAUCAUAGCAAAGUCAACUGGUAUCUUGCUGCAUAACCCCAUCUUUAGCAGUGUUUGUAUCACUCACACCUACAUCUCAUAGUGUCAGGGAUACGAAGCACUGUAAGUAAAUAAUGCCACGGAGGAGACAGGGAAUCAUCUUGUGGAUGUCGGUCGUUGGGUGCACCCUGCUGGCGUUAUACCUUUGGUACACUGUGUCUAUUGAUACACGUCGGAGGAACAUAAUGUGGGACGCACCUGCGGUAUCACCCAGACCUCUUGCAAUACCCGAGCAUUAUGCGGCUGGCAAUGACAGAAACUUCACUCUGGCGAAGGUGAUUGAAAUCCACGACCCUGCUGGAAGUUUGUUGAACGGGAGUGAAAUACAGCGGCAUGAAGACAAGCAGAUGGCCAAUAAGAGCAACGCCGUUGCUGCAAAUGACUUACAACAAAUACUCGCUUGAGGCAUGGCUCAUAUUGGUGUCAACAAUAGUCUUACGGCAGUGGACAGCUGUUGGCGUCCGGUCUGAAACAAAAGGAAGUCUUUCAAGGCAGAAGUUAUAAAUUGAGAUAAUCUUUUGUCACUUCAAUGUAGUAUUACUCUGUUUGUUAAGUAUGGAUUAUGCGAAUAGCGACAAAAGUUCAAAUGCACAAACCUUUUUAUAUGUUGCUAUUUACAUUCAUAGGGAGUAACAGUAAAGAUAUCACAUACUUUUCAUAGAAUAGGAACACUGCAUAUAGAAAGAUAGAUUAUACAUAUAUAGAUACAGCAUUUUACAUAGCUACUCAACCUAUCAAUUAACUACAUGCAUACACAAGUCAUCACACCGGUACCUGUCCUUAAUGCUGAAAACUAUAUGGAAAGGGGCAUGUCUCUUCUGCUGAACACCAUCCAUACACAGGCUAACCCACCAGUCUUUUUUGUUAUACACCAUUCACACACACAAACACACCUGUCCUUGGUGCUGAACACCAUCCACACACAGGCAACCACACCAGUACUUGGCAUUAGAUGCACAAACACACCAGGACUUGUUGUUAUACACCAUUCACACACACAAACACACCUGUUCUUGGUGCUGAACACCAUCCACACACAGGCAACCACACCAGUACUUGGCAUUAGAUGCACAAACACACCAGGACUUGUUGUUAUACACCAUUCACACUCACAAACACACCUGUCCUUGGUGCUGAACACCAUACACACACAAGAAACCACACUAGUACUUUGAGUUAGACACCAUUCACACACACACCAAUACACCUGUCCUUUGUGCUGAAUACCAUCAAUACACAGGCUAACCCACCAGUCCUUGUUGUUAGACACUAUUCACACACACAAACACACCUGUCCUUGGUGCUGAACACCAUCAACACACAGGUAAGCACACCUGUCCUUGGUGUUAGACACCAUUCACGCACACGCAAACACACCUGUCCUUGGAGCUGAACACUAUCCACACACAGGUAACCACACCAGCACUUGGUGUUAGACACCAUUCACGCACACGCAAACACACCUGUCCUUGGUGCUGAACACCAUCCACACACAGGUAACCACACCAGUACUUGGUGUUAGACACCAUUCACACACGCAAACACACCUGUCCUUGGUGCUGAAUACCAUCCACACACAGGCAACCACACCAGUACUUGGUGUUUGACACCAUUCACACCCACAAACACACCUGUCCUUGGUGCUGAACACCAUCCACACACAUCUUUCAUUUCACUCAGCUACAAAAUGUAGGUAUGCACGCAGUCUAAAAUCAUAAAGGGGAUCUCAUCUUAUACUGUAGUGAAUCACAUUAACAAUAAGGACAGAAGCCAGUUCCACUGAGUGUAUAUGUCUAAUAAUCUAGUACUCUACAGCUUUCAAGUUUUAUGUUGUAUACAGCCAGAAAUGUCAGUAGAAGUUUCGAUACUAUAUAUCAUAUUGGCUUUUGUCAUACCAAAUCUAUUGUGUAAAUCUUUCAAAAUUUCUAACACAAUGCACGAUUAAGACUUAGUCCUU